GGACCUGCGCCCCAUUAGCUAGUUGGUGAGGUAAUAGCUCACCAAGGCGACGAUGGGUAGCCGGCCUGAGAGGGUGACCGGCCACACUGGGACUGAGAUACGGCCCAGACUCCUACGGGAGGCAGCAGUGAGGAAUAUUGCGCAAUGGCCGAAAGGCUGACGCAGCAACGCCGCGUGGAUGAUGAAGCUCUAAGGAGCGUAAAGUCCUGUUAGGAGGGAAGUGACGGUACCUCCAGAGAAAGCCCCGGCUAACUCCGUGCCAGCAGCCGCGGUAAUACGGGGGGGGCGAGCGUUGUCCGGAAUUAUUGGGCGUAAAGGGCGCGUAGGCGGAAUAGUAAGUCAGGGGUAAAACCAUAGGCUCAACCUAUGGCCUGCCUUUGAAACCGCUAUUCUUGAGUGCGGAAGAGGGAAGUGGAAUUCCUGGUGUAGCGGUGAAAUGCGUAGAU
rnacentral:rRNA from 1 species